AAUUCUCAACCGAUUCUUGGAUCAGCUUUGACUUGGGAGCUUGUUGGGUCCGCUUGGCUCUCCUGAAAUGCAUUGCAUUAAGCUAAUGUGCACGGCCUCUGACAUGAUAAUGAUUGUCAUAGCUGGAGCAUGGCUUGAUCAUCAGAUCGGCUUUAGCUACUAGUUUGUUUGUAACCCGAAUGAACGAACGUGAGUCUAACCUAAUG
rnacentral:misc_RNA from 1 species